AGGUGGGUCGUUCCCAUGGGAGUAUGCAAGUCCAAAUCGAAAGGCCUAGUCCGAUCUUGCCUACGCUCAGUCCUUCGCAAUCCAAUUAGCACCCAUUUUCAGCUCAGUUGCCGUUCUCUUUUCUGCGCGUCCUCAAGCGUUGGGCUUCGGCUGAAGUGGUCAUAGGAUGACAGUUUGUUCCUUACAGUUUCUGUCGUUCCUUUCAUUUCUCGCUUGCUUUGCUGGUAUUAAUGAAAUCGUUUUGCCUAAUGUUGAUUCUGGAUAACCGAAUGGCCACAUAAUGUAGUGGUGCCCCUAAUAUUAAUGGGGUUCGGUUUUAUGGCAUUAAGUUAUCGGCUACAUGUAAUCGGGUACCUCCGAUAUGGGUCCUCAAAAUAUAUGAUACAAAACUG
rnacentral:sRNA from 2 species